rnacentral:rRNA from 1 species
CGUAGGACGCAAGCGUUAUCCGGAGUUACUGGGCGUAAAGCGCGGGCAGGCGGCUCGAUGCGUCUGAUGUGAAAUCUCCUUGCUUAACAGGGAGAGGCCAUUGGAAACGGUCGAGCUGGAGGGCAGUAGAGGCAGGCGGAAUUCCGGGUGGAGUGGUGAAAUGCGUAGAGAUCCGGAGGAACACCAGAGGCGAAGACGGCCUGCUGGGCUGCACCUGACGCUGAGCCGCGAAAGCCAGGGGAGCGAACGGGAUUAGAAACCCCGGUAGUCCUGGCCGUAAACGAUGUUCACUGGAUGGCGGCGCGAACGCGUCGUUGUCGAAGCUAACGCGAUAAGUGAACCGCCUGGGGAGUACGGUCGCAAGGCUA